GCGCCCGUAGCUCAGUUGGAUAGAGCGUGCGGCUACGAACCGCAAGGUCGGGAGUUCGAAUCUCUCCGGGCGCGCCA
rnacentral:tRNA from 1 species